rnacentral:rRNA from 1 species
UGGGGAAUAUUGCACAAUGGGCGCAAGCCUGAUGCAGCCAUGCCGCGUGUGUGAAGAAGGCCUUCGGGUUGUAAAGCACUUUCAGCGAGGAGGAAGGUGGUGGACUUAAUACGUUCAUCAAUUGACGUUACUCGCAGAAGAAGCACCGGCUAACUCCGUGCCAGCAGCCGCGGUAAUACGGAGGGUGCAAGCGUUAAUCGGAAUUACUGGGCGUAAAGCGCACGCAGGCGGUUUGUUAAGUCAGAUGUGAAAUCCCCGGGCUCAACCUGGGAACUGCAUUUGAAACUGGCAAGCUAGAGUCUCGUAGAGGGGGGUAGAAUUCCAGGUGUAGCGGUGAAAUGCGUAGAGAUCUGGAGGAAUACCGGUGGCGAAGGCGGCCCCCUGGACGAAGACUGACGCUCAGGUGCGAAAGCGUGGGGCAGCAAACAGGAUUAGAUACCCUGGUAGUCCACGCUGUAAACGAUGUCGAUUUUGGAGGUUGUGCCCUUGAGGCGUGGCUUCCGGAGCUAACGCGUUAAAUCGACCGCCUGGGGAGUA